ACGGAAGGCAGCAGUGAGGGAUAUUGCACAAUGGAGGGAACUCUGAUGCAGCGAUGCCGCGUGGAGGAAGAAGGUUUUCGGAUUGUAAACUCCUGUUUCGAGGAACGAUAAUGACGGUACCUCGGGAGGAAGCUCCGGCUAACUACGUGCCAGCAGCCGCGGUAAUACGUAGGGAGCGAGCGUUGUCCGGAAUUACUGGGUGUAAAGGGAGCGCAGGCGGGACAGCAAGUCAGAUGUGAAAACUAUGGGCUCAACCCAUAACGUGCAUUUGAAACUGCAGUUCUUGAGUGAAGUAGAGGUAAGCGGAAUUCCUAGUGUAGCGGUGAAAUGCGUAGAUAUUAGGAGGAACAUCGGUGGCGAAGGCGGCUUACUGGGCUUUUACUGACGCUGAGGCUCGAAAGCGUGGGGAGCAAACAGGAUUAGAUACCCUGGUA
rnacentral:rRNA from 1 species